rnacentral:lncRNA from 1 species
UUGAAUUAAAGAAAAUUUUAAUUUCUGAUUAAUUCCGCUUCCGCAUUCCAACAGCAGCGAACACAAUAGGAUCAAGGCAAGAUCUUCUUCAUCGUACUUAACCUCCAACAUUUUCAGAUUUACAACUAUUUCCUUAAACACAGUAACAUGGUCUUCCAAUGACUCUCCUUCUGCCAUACGAUGUGAAUAUGACUUCUGCUCAAGAGCCAGUUUACUUGUAAGACUUUUAGUCAUACACAACUACUCCAACCUCAACCACAAAACAGCUGCCGUUUUCUCCUUCAAGAUAUCCUGCAAAAUUUUGUUGAACAAAUGAAGAUGAAUCAUUGACAUAGCCUUUCGAUCCUUCCGUUGUUUCUUCUCCGUUGUCCAAUUAGCUGGUAUCCUCUCAAAAUCCAGCAGCGCAUCUUCCAAAUCCAACUGCACCAAAACAUCCCUUAUCUUUACUUGCCGCAAUGAGAACCUUGCAUUGCGAUCUAAUUGUAGAAUAUCAUAUUUCAACCCAGCUAUCUCAAAAAAAAAAAAAAAAAAAAAAUUCUCAACAAAUCCACAGAAAAUCAACAGCCUAGAUUUGAUACCAUUUGUUGGGCACAGAAGCUUUGAUACCAUUUGUUGGGGCGUAGAAGCUCCAAUAGUACAUGUUGAUUCCAAACCAAAUUUUAAGGGACGAGAUUAUAUAACAAUAUUGAAGUGUACUAGAUCACACAUUAAAAAAAGGUUUAAAUUGUAAAGAAAGAACACAAUGGGUAAACGCAUAGGAACGGUGUUUAUUAAUUCAAUAGUAUGGAGAAUACAAGACAAACCGACAAUAUUACUUCUAUAUUACUCUCCAAUAAAACUGAUAGAGGAGCCUUGUAUUUAUAGGCUAACACUAGAAGAGUCCUAAAAGGCAAGAAAAUAUAUUACAAUUAGGAGACAUAAUUUCAACAGGAUUUUGUUUCCUUUUUUUGAAUGCAAUUAAAUUCCCUUUCCAAGUAAAAGUCUAACACGCAUCUUCAAAAAACUCCUAACUAAUUUUUAGGAUUUCAC